UACGGAGGGUGCAAACGUUGCUCGGAAUACUGGGCGUAAAGCGCACGUAGGCGGCUUUGUAAGUUAGAGGUGAAAGCCCGGAGCUCAACUCCGGAACUGCCUUUAAGACUGCAUCGCUUGAAUCCAGGAGAGGUGAGUGGAAUUCCGAGUGUAGAGGUGAAAUUCGUAGAUAUUCGGAAGAACACCAGUGGCGAAGGCGGCUCACUGGACUGGUAUUGACGCUGAGGUGCGAAAGCGUGGGGAGCAAACAGG
rnacentral:rRNA from 1 species